UCAUCCUUGAGAACAGGAUGCCCAGAGGUCGGAAGUUGCUCUUCACUAUCUCAAGCCGAAACCACCCAGGUCCAAAAUGGCCACUCAAAUGAUUUCUGGAAGACCUCAAACUUCAUCAUCACCCACUUUCACGCUAAGUGACAUGCCCCUGGCCACCAUCACAGGAAGCCCCAGACGGUGAAGUGUUCUGGGAAAGACCUGCUUAUUCCAGGAGAGGGUAUAAAUAUUCCUCCUUCCUCUGGUCUGUCCGCUUCCCCCAGCUCUCUCUCUCUCUCUCUCUCUCUCUCUCUCUCUCUCUCUCUCUCUCUCUCUCUCUCUCUCUCUCUCUCUCUCUCAUUUUUUUUCUACCUUAUGGUCUGAGAAAUUGACUCAUGAGCCAGGCUCCCAUUUCUGUCUUCAGACACUAAUAAAUCUGUGUUAUUGUCACCCAGGCUCAGUUUUGUGCUUUGGCUCUGUGACACAAAAAGGGAAGUUAUUCUUUUGUGCACGCUUCUCUCUCUGUCCUAAAAGAAGACCCCACAAAUGAUUGCCUUGCUUCUUCUUGCUAUGCUGGGGUUUGGGGCAUUGCCUGAAUUCCUCCAUUAGCACAGUUCCUGUGGGCUGGCUUCUCUUCCUAGAUUCUACCUGUCUGGGUCCUGCUGACUUGUCUAGUCCGUGCUGUAGAAUACUAGAACUUAUUCUUCCUAUUGAAUUUGUAAUUUGGCAUCCCCUGUUCAACCGCGCUCUCUCUAUCCUUCCUAGAGCUCCCUACCCUUCCUAACUAACUCUAUUGACCACUAUUCUGUUUUCUAUGGAUAUAAACAUGAGCUUUGUAGAUUCUGUGGUGAGAGAAAACAAGCACUGUUUGUCUUCCUGUGCCCAAUUUCACCCAUCAUAACACCUUCCACGUUCAUCCUUGGUUGCUGGGCAACUACUCCUGAUAACUCCUAGGUUCCACUGCAGCUAAAGGGACCAAUAACAUCUACCUCAUGGACAAACUUCAGCCUAAAACCCCAGGAGCAACUGAGAAAGUGAUGAUUGGAGACGGAAGUCACCAAGAAUUGCCAUCCUCAUCUAUGGAUCUGACGUGGACUAGACUGACAGAAAAGUAGAGAAGCUUGCCAACUUGGGUAGAUAAUGAAGAGUGUAAGAUACCGUGAGACACCUAUAGGCUGUGUGUUUGUGAGGAGCAACCAUGAAUGACAUCAGUCUCUUUGUAAGAGGAGACAGGAUAGCUAGGCAUGAUGGCACUUUUAUGCCAGAACUUGGGAAGCUACAGCAAGACUGUGAGUUCAAGG